AAAGCACCUCCGGGGCUUGAAGCU
rnacentral:miRNA from 8 species